rnacentral:lncRNA from 1 species
AUAAGUUAAAUUUUGUAGGUUUAUGGUUAUAGUUGUGUUUAAUACGUGUUGUAAAUUUGAGCUCGAUCUAACGGUUGAGUUGAGGGUUACUGAGGUUUAAGUAGGUCAAGGUCUCAAAAAAUAGAAUUUUAGGUCCAGUGAGGGUUUUUAAGAUUUCUUGCAAUCUACUAGUUGGAUUAGAGUGAAACUUAUGUGAGAAGAUAUUAGGCUUGAUUUUCUAUGUACAUGAGAAUUUUGAAAUCAAUUGAAUAGUGCAAAAGAGAGAUAUAGUCUUUGGAAGAUUGGCAUCAAGAUUGGAAAAGGAGGCCGGCCAAUACCCAAGCACAUUUUUGAGGUUAUCAUCAAUUUUGUAACUACGAUCCUUUUUAAUUAUUUUUGUGCUUGUUUUUAAAUUAUUUUUUUAGAAGUAUAUAAAAUUUGAGUUAAGAUCAACGGUUUUUUCAUUAGUUAUUGAGGUUUAAAUCUAUUAUAGAAAUUACUAGGAUUUGGUUUAGGAUUUGGUUAGGAUUUGGUUUAGGAUUUAGGGUUUGGUUAGGGGUUUAUUAAGGAUUUAGGAUUUAUUUAGGAUUUGGUUUAGGAUUUAGAUUUUUGAUUAUGAUUUGGUUAUGGAUUUAGGAUUUGGAUUAGGGUUUGGUUAGGAUUUGAUUUAGGGUUUAGGGUUUGGUUUAGGAUUUGGUUAGGAUUUGGUUUAGGAUUUGGGUGGGAUUUGAUUUAAGGUUUAUUUAGGAUUUAUUUUAGGAUUUAGAAUUUUAUUAGGAUUUAAGAUUCAACUAGUUUAGGCCUAAAUUUUGAAUGAAGUUUAAUAGGAUUUUAACUAGAAUUAAAUUAAGAUUGAAUUGAGAUGUAUUUGAGUGAUAUUUGUGAUCCU